AGAGUUUGAUCCUGGCUCAGAUUGAGCGCUGGCGGCAGGCCUAACACAUGCAAGUCGAGCGGAUGAAGGGAGCUUGCUCCCCGAUUUAGCGGCGGACGGGUGAGUAAUGCCUAGGAAUCUGCCUGGUAGUGGGGGAUAACGUUCCGAAAGGAACGCUAAUACCGCAUACGUCCUACGGGAGAAAGCAGGGGACCUUCGGGCCUUGCGCUAUCAGAUGAGCCUAGGUCGGAUUAGCUAGUUGGUGAGGUAAUGGCUCACCAAGGCGACGAUUCGUAACUGGUCUGAGAGGAUGAUCAGUCACACUGGAACUGAGACACGGUCCAGACUCCUACGGGAGGCAGCAGUGGGGAAUAUUGGACAAUGGGCGAAAGCCUGAUCCAGCCAUGCCGCGUGUGUGAAGAAGGUCUUCGGAUUGUAAAGCACUUUAAGUUGGGAGGAAGGGCAGUAAGCUAAUACCUUGCUGUUUUGACGUUACCGACAGAAUAAGCACCGGCUAACUUCGUGCCAGCAGCCGCGGUAAUACGAAGGGUGCAAGCGUUAAUCGGAAUUACUGGGCGUAAAGCGCGCGUAGGUGGUUCGUUAAGUUGGAUGUGAAAGCCCCGGGCUCAACCUGGGAACUGCAUCCAAAACUGGCGAGCUAGAGUACGGUAGAGGGUGGUGGAAUUUCCUGUGUAGCGGUGAAAUGCGUAGAUAUAGGAAGGAACACCAGUGGCGAAGGCGACCACCUGGACUGAUACUGACACUGAGGUGCGAAAGCGUGGGGAGCAAACAGGAUUAGAUACCCUGGUAGUCCAA
rnacentral:rRNA from 1 species